CCAGCCGGCGGGGGCGACGUUGUUGCUGGUGACGGUGCGGCCGUCGCUGAGGGUGACCCGGAAGGAGAGGCUCUGGCCGUCGAGGUCCGCGUUGCUCUGCCAGUUCUGGCCCCAGUUGCGGGCCAUGGCCUGCCACCCGGUGCUGGACCCCUUGAUGGCCACCGACUGCACGUCGCCGGCGCCGGCCACGUUCGUCACCAGCACCAGGUUGAAGUAGGAGUGGCCGUUGAUGGUGAACCUGAUCCCACCCUUCUUCACGCACGGCACCCUGCAGCACAAUCGGGCGACGAUGCCGGCGCGGUAGAUGCCGAUCUGGAGGUAGGCCGGCUCGGCCAUGUCGAAGUGGGCGCGCGGCGGGUUGCACCAGCCGCCGUCGUCGUUGGGCAGCGCGUAGUUGGGCGGGCAGAGGUUGGUGGCGGUGAUGGUGAUGCUGCCCGGCAGGCAGGAGCUGCUCACGUCCUGGCACUUGAGCUCGUAGCACGACCCGCACGCCGCGCCGUCGUUGAACAGCGCCGUGCUCAGCGCCGCCGUGUUCGUGCC
rnacentral:rRNA from 1 species